rnacentral:rRNA from 1 species
CUCGUAGGUGGCCAACUAAGUCAGACGUGAAAUCCCUCGGCUUAACCGGGGAACUGCGUCUGAUACUGGAUGGCUUGAGAUUGGGAGAGGGACGCGGAAUUCCAGGUGUAGCGGUGAAAUGCGUAGAUAUCUGGAGGAACACCGGUGGCGAAGGCGGCGUCCUGGACCAACACUGACACUGAGGAGCGAAAGCCAGGGGAGCAAAACGG